rnacentral:rRNA from 1 species
GACGAACGCUGGCGGCGUGCUUAACACAUGCAAGUCGAACGGAAAGGCCCUGCUCUUGUGGGGUGCUCGAGUGGCGAACGGGUGAGUAACACGUGUGUAACCUGCCCUUGACUUUGGGAUAACUUCAGGAAACUGGGGCUAAUACCGGAUAGGAGCUCCUGCUGCAUGGUGGGGGUUGGAAAGUUUCGGCGGUUGGGGAUGGACUCGCGGCUUAUCCGCUUGUUGGUGGGGUAGUGGCUUACCAAGGCUUUGACGGGUAGCCGGCCUGAGAGGGGGACCGGCCACAUUGGGACUGGGAUAGGGCCCAGACUCCAACGGGAGGCAGCAGGGGGGAAUAUUGCACAAUGGGCGGAAGCCUGAUGCAGCAACGCCGCGGGCGGGAUGACGGCCUUCGGGUUGUAACCCGCUUUCGCCUGUGACGAAGCGUGAGUGACGGUAAUGGGUAAAGAAGCACCGGCUAACUACGUG